UUGAAGAAGUGAAUUGAACCUAUUAUCAGCGGUUGCCGGUUUGGAGGUUAAAAAAAGUGGAGUUAAGACGUGGAUUGGACUUGAAUGUCAGCGAGAACUGAGAAAUUCACCGUACCCCACUUGAUCCACGAGCCACCCUAUCAAAUUCAUCUUUCCCCCCCUCUUUUCCAAGUGGAGUGUCCUUUUUUAACAAAUCAUGAACUUUUUCGAUGCAAGCCAAGAUGGCCGACGGGAAUCACUAAAAAGAAGAAAUGUAAUUCUAAAAAUUGCCAAAUAAGACAAAGAAAUCACAAGGGUAAAUGCGUCAUUCAGCAUUGGCCUCGCUUUAAAGUACAAAUCCUCGUUCCAGCUCACAAAUGUACAAGUACAUCCACCUCCAAUCCUGGAAGAUGCACAGCUGUAAGGGUAGUAUCGUAAAUAAACCCAAAAUAGCCCCACUUUGCAGCCAUUUUAAUUACAAUAAAUCCAUUGAAGAUCCAACUUUGCCAUCCAGAAACCCCCUUUUUUCCCACCCCGACGACUCCCAAAAAAUAAAUAAAAUAAAUAAAAUUCGGUUAGAGAGAGAAAAUCAAAGAAAAAAAAAAAAACAGAGAAAAUAGAGGAAGAAGAGCAGGCAUUAAUGGCGGAGGGAAAAAGGGAGAAGAAAGCGACGAACGAAGAGAGCGUGAAGCUCUUCGUUGGUCAAGUGCCGAAGCACAUGACGGAAGCUCAACUUCUCGCAAUGUUCAAAGAGUUUGCUUUGGUCGACGAAGUCAACAUCAUCAAAGACAGGGCUACUCGCGCCUCUAGAGGGUGUUGCUUCGUUAUAUGCCCAUCCAGACAAGAGGCCGAUAAGGCGGUCAAUGCCUGUCAUAGUAAGAAGACUUUGCCUGGGGCAUCUAGUCCAUUGCAAGUGAAGUAUGCAGAUGGCGAAUUGGAAAGAUUAGAGCACAAACUCUUUGUUGGCAUGUUGCCAAAGAAUGUCUCGGAAGCUGAAGUUUCUGCUUUAUUUUCUAAAUAUGGAACCAUAAAGGACCUACAGAUUCUAAGAGGUUCUCAACAAACAAGUAAAGGCUGCGCCUUUUUGAAGUACGAGACAAAAGAUCAAGCCCUUGACGCCCUGGAGGCCAUUAACGGAAAGCAUAAAAUGGAGGGUUCUAGUGUCCCUGUCGUUGUCAAAUGGGCAGAUACAGAAAAGGAAAGACAAGCUCGAAGGGCCCAGAAAGCCCAAUCUCAAGCUUCCAAUAUACCAAAUGCUGAUUCACAACAUCAUUCAUUGUUUGGAGCGUUGCCAAUGGGUUAUGUUCCUCCAUAUGGAUAUCAGGCUCCAGGAAGUUAUGGACUGAUGCAGUACCGCUUGCCACCAAUGCAAAAUCAGCCUGCAUUCCACAGUAUGAUUCCUCCAGUAAAUCAAGGAAGUGCAUUGCAAGGAAUAACACCUGACCUAGCUCCCAAUAUUGCUCCUAGAAAUUAUGCUAUGCCUCCUGCAAGUUAUGUGGGCUCACCUUACCCAGCCGUGCCAGGUCUGCAAUACCCCAUGGCAUAUCCUGGGGGAAUCAUGAGCCACCGUCCGUUGAUUGGUUCACCUGGUUCCGUGCCUCAAGCAAAUACAAGCAGUAAUUCUUCAUCAUCUUCCACUGUUGGUACAAAUUCAGGAGGUCAGAUUGAAGGUCCACCUGGUGCAAAUCUGUUUAUUUAUCACAUACCUCAAGAAUUCGGUGAUCAAGAGUUGGCUAACGCUUUUCAAGGAUUUGGUAGGGUCUUAAGUGCAAAGGUUUUUGUUGACAAGGCAACAGGGUUUAGUAAAUGUUUUGGAUUUGUUAGUUACGACUCUCCAGCAGCUGCUCAAAAUGCAAUAAACAUGAUGAAUGGAUACCAAUUAGGUGGUAAGAAACUGAAGGUUCAGCUUAAGAGAGACAACAAACAAAACAAACCUUAUUGAUUGGGAGGUAUUAUAAAAUCAUUUGUGUGAUGAGGCACUAUUAUCUUUGAGGUUUUUGCAUGUGAUUUCCAUUCUGUCCAUCUGGCCAUAUAAUCUCUCCAUGGCUGUCCCCUGCAGAUUUUCAUUGGCUUGGUUCAAGAUGUUGGAGUUAUGUUACCUGGAUCUCAUGCUCUCCUGUUUCAAUUGAGCAUUCUUAUGCCUGAGAAUACCUGCUGUUGCAGGGUAACCGGGACUCAACAUCUCAGGUAUCGCUUGUUGCUUGUAUGUUGAGAAUUCUUUGUACUGGGAUCAAGAAGCAUUACCAACAAUUAAGGCACCAUCUACUGUCAUUUAUGAGAAUCAUCAUCGUGACAUCACUUGGAUUAAAAUUCUAAGUACUGUGGUGUAGGGCUUGGGUAUCACUAAUUCCUGACUCUCUUUUACAAGCCUCACUCAGUUUUCCUAGAAUUAUUUCUGACAUGAUGCCUUUUCCCUGCAUUUUAUAUCCCCGUUGAUUUUAAGCUUGCUUAUUUUUAUUAGUUCAUAACUGCUUUAAAAUGGUAUUUUUAAUGGGCAUCGUGUGGUUUAAGUUUUACUGAAUUUGUAAUAUUGCUGGUUGCUGCAAAUAUCUAGUUGAUAUAAAGAACUAAUUCUUGGGGGUAGACUAUAUUGCUGGUAAAUAUUUUAAAACAUCAUACCUAGAAAAAUAAUAGAAGGCUGAAUACCUGGAAGAGAAAUCUUGCUGUGUGUCUGGGUUCAUUUUAUAUAUUUUGCUUUCACCAUUUACGUUGACAAAAUAUUCUACAUGACACUAUUAGUUUAUUUAGAAAGGUUGAAUUGGAACUUCAGGGGUUAUGUAUUUCUGCAUUGUAUUGCAUUUCCUCAAUUUCAGAAGCAUCAACCAGCUCACCUAAGGAUAAUGUUCAUCUAGUAUCAUUGAAAGUAGUAAAGUAUGUAACUACUGCAAAUGCUCAUAUUUACAGCAUUGCUUAUGCUAAUAUAAAAUCUUGAUUUGUUAUGAGGCUAGGAUGCUAUGUAUUCUGUUGAUUUUUAUGUUGCAAGUUAUAUGAAGUUGAAAUUGCAUGGUUAAGGAUGACUUGAAAGAAAAUGCUUUACUAAUUCUUUGUUACUAUGAAGUUGAAAAAGCUUUACUCCCCACUAAACUGCAAUGGUACUAAAAUUUGGAGUACUGUUUUUGUUAAUUUUUAGCUUCUAGUGGUUUAUCCAACCCUAAUUGAUAUUUAAAUUUCAUUUAUACACUGAUAACGAUCUAUAAAGUAUGUUGAAGCUUCCUGCCCCCAUUUCUUGACGCCGUGUGCUGUUAUGUUUCAUUUUCACUUCCUUCCAAGUGUAUCUUUUCUUUGUCAUGCCACAUUGUCAACAUUCAUGUGUGGGUACUUGGUGCAUCCCGCUGUAUCAUUCUUCUUGUUUGUUCUGUAAACAAGACUGUAUAUUGUAGACAAAGCCGAGUACUAAAAUUUGGAUAUGAUUGGUAUAAAUCUGUUGGCUGCUUGCUUGGAGUGUGGUAAAUCUGUUAGCACUUUUAGUUUGGGUCCUGUGACUGUAUCAAGGUUUAGGUUUGUUGCCAAAGGCAUUUCGAUUCUUUUGAAUAUGAAUAAAAAUUUAAAUGAAAAAUUGGUGGUAGAGCAUUCCAACCUAAUUUAAUUCAGAUAAGGAAUAGGAAUAGUUAGGAGUAGCUUUUGAAGUUUGAGGACUUAUUGCAGCUGAAAAAGGAAGUAGAAAUCUAUUCUGCUGCUAUCAUGUUAUGCUAACGAAGGAAAAAGGCGACUAGGAUUGUAUUGUUGUCCAGUUGAGCUAUAACUCCUGCAUCUUCAUUUCCAUUUCUACGUUUUUGUCGUAUAUGUAAGCCAGUUUGAUUGAGAAGGCUGUCUUGCUUUGUUGGUUUCCAAUUUCCACAUGCUUUCUUUGCUAAAUUUUUUUUAUGAAUUUAUCAUUGUGAACUAUGUGGUUUAUAAGUUUUUGGCAGUCUUUUUCAAUUUUUCCACCUUCUUUUAUACGCUACAAAGAACGAUUUAGACUAAAGCUGUUUAAUGU